GGGAUAUUUGUGUAACCCAGAAGCAGUCAUGAAAGAGGCAGGGUUUCUGCUGGUGCAUGAACUGAACUCUUGUUUACCAUUUGGACAAAUCCUACCUUUGGAUAAGCCUUUGGACAUGGUAUCUUAAACUACAGUAGAUCCAGUGAAGGCAGAAAGUGGCCAUCUGGACUCUGCAGGCUGUUUCUGGAGCAUAUCCCUUUGUUCUGCAAGGCACAGGAUCGUGUACACAGCAGCAGGAGGGGGCUCAGUUUCCUGCUGCUGCUCAUGGGAGGAGGACUUCCCACCCCAGGAAAGAGAAGACCAGGGGAAACUUGAGAAGGCUGCGAUGACACUGGAGGCACAGCUUCAGGGCUUUUAGCACUAUGCGUCACAUUCGUGUGACCCAUGACCAACAUGUAAUGUUGUGCCUGACGCACGUGAAGAGCUCUGCCUCUCUGGAGAGCGUCACAGAGGCUGCAGGGGUCCGGAGCUGGCAGCCCCCUGGGGCAGACGACAGCACCCUGUGACACCUGGUGCGUCAUCUGCAGCUGAGCUCCCAGUAAGGUCAGGCAGGAGACUGAUAAAUGACCCCACCUUGUCAACACCACCGUCAUUAGUGCUGUUAUCACCCUGCGAAUGGGAACGUGAAGGAAUUCAUAUCCCUGCCCUUGCCAAAGCUGGAGAGCAAGUGGGAACAGGAGCUGUGGAGGUGACUGUUCACACCACUUACAUUCUCCUGCAAAGCAGCACAAUGUUUGGUUUGUUAACCAAAGGGAUUUUGUAGCUGAUCAUUAAAUAUUAUUUCAGAUU
ensembl:lncRNA